rnacentral:ncRNA from 1 species
UAUGGCCGGAGCAGGGGUGCGAGCAGCAAACCUGUCGCAGUUCCUCGAAGCCGGCGUAAAAGAAGUGCACAGCUCCGCCGGCCAGUGGCUGCCUUCGCCGAUGCGCUUUCGUAAUUCCAGGCUGUCGAUGUCUACGGAUGCCGAAGCAGAUGAAUAUUCACGCUAUGCCGUUAACGGCGCAGCGGUGGCGGAAAUGAAGAGCAUUAUUUCCGCCUGAGUGCCCGCAUUGUUUGCGCGCAGCCUGCGGGCUGGUCAGCACAACGGCUGCGGGCAGAGAGAGAAAACCGUUUUUUGCUGCACAUCAUGUCGCCCAAUAUGAUGAUUGCCCGUACCAGGCCCCUGCAAUUUCAACAGGGGCCUUUUUUU